ACAGAGGAAAUAUGUAUGGUAAAGGUCCAAUGGCACCGGCACAAUGUUGAAGAAUGCACUUGGGAGUCGGAGCAGAAUAUGAAAAGCAGAUACACUCACCCCUUUGAGUAAUCAGGUAAUUUACUCUUUUAAAUUCGAGGACGAAUUUUAUAUAAGGGGGGGAGGAUGUAAUAACCCCAAAAUAUUUUUUUUAUAUAAAAAAGGAUAGAAUAGUCCUUUAAAAUUGAUAUGAGGGGUAAAAUUGGAAGGAAUGAAAAGAUAAUGACAUAGUUGUAGAUGCGUUGAAGUGGUAAGGGUAAAAUUGGAAAGGAAUCAAAAGUUAAUGGCAUAACCGUAGAUAUGUUGAAUUGUUAGGGGCAAAAUGGGAAUUUAAUAAUAUUAAAAAAAAGGGUGAAUAGUAUCUUGAUGUGAUUUAAUUGGAGAGUUUGAGCUGGCUUUUGGAAUGAAACCGAGAGAAAGAGGGAGGGGGUUCUCAGGCGUGAAACAGAGAGGAAAGAAAGAAAGAAAAAGAGAAGAAGAAGAAGAAGAAAGAAGAAGAGGAAGGGGAUUCGAGGAG
rnacentral:lncRNA from 1 species